rnacentral:lncRNA from 1 species
CUCCCGCCGACUCCCGGCUGUGCCGGAGUCGGGUGGGUCGGCGGCUAUAAAGCUGUUGGCGGAGGUGGGGCUCCGCGUACUGCCUCUUCGCGGCUCGCUCCCCUUUCCUGGUCACCGCACGGUCACGUUUGGGGUUUAUGUUUGGGGAGAGGUGCAUGUGCGAAUGAUUGUAAGACCAACAAAUGUGCUCUUCUGAUUUCAUUUGGAUUCCAUAUGUUUUUCAGGAGGAAAGGUUGCCAGCUCAUUCUCAAUUUCCUGGAUUUCUCGCCUGUAACAGUGAAAAAGAUCAGCAGGUAACUGCUCAUAGUUUAUCACAGUACCAAAAUGUAUACUGGAUGAACUUCAACCACUUGUUUGAAUCAAGGCUAAGGAGGAAGCCAGACUUCAGAACACUGAA